AUGGUUGUGAAGCUAAAGGAUGGUCGAUGGGAAGUCAUUUUCUUCAUUGCUGAACACAAUCGUGCACUAAUUGACAAGCCAUCACUCACAAAGUACCUGCGAUCGCACCAAGGGAUCCCUCCAGAAGAGAAGCUAUUCCUAACAAAUCUUCAUAAUUGCAAUUUGACUACAGGUCGUAUGAUGCAAAUUAUGUCUGAAUUUUAUGGGACGGAACUAAUUGUUCCUUAUACAACUAAAGCAAUAUCAAAUCUUAAAUCGGGCUUGAACAAGGCAGCCACUAGUGAAGGAGAUAUGAUAGAGACAGUAGCCUACUUCAAGGAGUAA
rnacentral:rRNA from 1 species